rnacentral:rRNA from 1 species
CAAGUCGAACGCGAAAGUUUCCUUCGGGAAACAAGUAGAGUGGCGCACGGGUGAGUAACACGUAGGUAAUCUACCUUUGGAUGGGGAAUAACAACCGGAAACGGUUGCUAAUACCGCAUAAUGCAGCGGCACCUAAUGGUGACAGUUGUUAAAGCGGGGGAUCGAAAGACCUCGCGUCUGAAGAGGAGCCUGCGGCGGAUUAGCUAGUUGGUAAGGUAAUGGCUUACCAAGGCUACGAUCCGUAACCGGCCUGAGAGGGCGGUCGGUCACACUGACACUGACAUACGGGUCAGACUCCUACGGGAGGCAGCAGUCGGGAAUUUUGGGCAAUGGGCGAAAGCCUGACCCAGCAACGCCGCGUGAAGGAUGAAAUCCCUCGGGAUGUAAACUUCGCAAGAACAGGAAGAAUAAGUAGGGGACAAUACCCCCUAUGAUGACGGUACUGUUUGUAAGCUCCGGCUAACUCCGUGCCAGCAGCCGCGGUAAUACGGGGGGAGCAAGCGUUGUUCGGAUUUACUGGACGUAAAGGGCGCGUAGGCGGUCAGCACAAGUCAGUUGUGAAACCUCCGGGCUUAACCCGGAAAGGUCAACUGAUACUGUGCGACUAGAGUGCGGAAGGGGCAACUGGAAUUCUUGGUGUAGCGGUGAAAUGCGUAGAUAUCAAGAGGAACACCUGCGGCGAAGGCGGGUUGCUGGGCCGACACUGACGCUGAAGCGCGAAAGCCAGGGGAGCGAACAGGAUUAGAUACCCCGGUAGUCCUGGCCUUAAACGAUGAAUGCUUGGUGUCUGGGGUUAUAAAGUCCCCGGGUGCCGUCGCUAACGCUUUAAGCAUUCCGCCUGGGGAGUACGGUCGCAAGACUGAAACUCAAAGGAAUUGACGGGGACCCGCACAAGCGGUGGAGCAUGUG